rnacentral:piRNA from 1 species
UUGAGUUCUUGAGAGUAGCGCUAACAG